rnacentral:sRNA from 1 species
AUGCACCCACGUACACACCGGUUCCUCCGCGCCGUCCGCACCCACCUGACUGCUCGCUACGUUUCUUGAGCC